UACGUAGGGGGCAAGCGUUGUCCGGAAUUAUUGGGCGUAAAGAGCGCGUAGGCGGUCCGAUAAGUCGGCUGUGAAAGUCAGGGGCUCAACCCUUGAAAGCCGGCCGAUACUGUCGGACUAGAGUCCGGAAGAGGCAAGUGGAAUUCCCGGUGUAGCGGUGAAAUGCGCAGAUAUCGGGAGGAACACCGGUGGCGAAGGCGGUUCUCUGGGCAUUACCUGACGCUGAGGAGCGAAAGUGUGGGGAGCGAACAGG
rnacentral:rRNA from 1 species